UACGUAGGGUGCAAGCGUUAAUCGGAAUUACUGGGCGUAAAGCGUGCGCAGGCGGUUAUGUAAGACAGAUGUGAAAUGCCCGGGCUUAACCUGGGAACUGCAUUUGUGACUGCAUGGCUAGAGUGUGUCAGAGGGGGGUAGAAUUCCACGUGUAGCAGUGAAAUGCGUAGAUAUGUGGAGGAAUACCGAUGGCGAAGGCCAGCCCCCUGGGAUAACACUGACGCUC
rnacentral:rRNA from 1 species